CCUACGGGUGGCAGCAGUGAGGAAUAUUGGUCAAUGGACGCAAGUCUGAACCAGCCACGCCGCGUGCAGGAUGACGGCUCUAUGAGCUGUAAACUGCUUUUGUACGAGGGUAAACGCAGAUACGCGUAUCUGUCUGAAAGUACCGUACGAAUAAGGAUCGGCUAACUCCGUGCCAGCCGCCGCGGUAAUACGGAGGAUACAAGCGUUAUCCGGAUUUAUGGGGUUUAAAGGGUGCGUAGGCGGUCGGAUAAGUUAGAGGUGAAAUUCCGAGGCUCAACCGCGGAAGUGCCUCUGAUACUGUGCGGCUUGAGUGUAGAUGAGGUAAGCGGAAUGUAUGGUGUAGCGGUGAAAUGCUUAGAGAUCAGGAAGAACACCGAUUGCGAAGGCAGCUUACCGGGCU
rnacentral:rRNA from 1 species